CAGGUCAUGAAAUCUUAUGGGCACAUAGGGUAAUAAUGUCUGAUUCAUUCUACUAUCCUUCUGAUCCCUAUAUCCCCUCCCCUCCCUUCACUCUCCUGUGUCUUAUCCAAAGUAUAUCUAUUCUUCCCUAGCCCCCCACUUAUUGUAAAUUAGCAUCCAUAUAUCAGAAGUUUCAGCCUUUGGUUUUUUGGGAUUGAUUUAUUUUCUUAGCAUGGUAUUCUCUAGUUCCAUUCAUGUACCAACAAAUGCCAUGAUUUCAUUCUUCUUUAAGACUGAGCAAUAUUCCAUUAUAUAUAUGUACCACAAUUUCUUUAUCCAUUCAUCUGUUGAAGGGCACCUAGGUUGGUUCCAUAGUAUAGCUAUUGUAAAUUGAGCUGAUUAAACAUUGAUGUGGCUGCAUCACUGUAGUGUGCUAAUUUUAAGUCCUUUUCAUUCUGUGGUCUAUCUCCCUCUCCUGUUAUAAGGUUAAAAAGCCAAUUGGACCUGACUAAUGAGCAUCUGCCCACUAUGAGCCCGUUAUGUCCUCUGUGACCUUCUUCAAAAAUAAUUUUGGGCUAAUCUGAUUCAUUUCCCAGGACUUUGGAAUUGGGAUAUUGAAGAAAUUAGCAGUGACAUUGGGGUAGAAGUAAAAACUGAGAGGCCCUGAUGAGCCACAAUAAGCAAGACCACAUUAGAGUCAGAGAUGUGGAGAGGAAAAACUAUGAGCAAAACAGAAAAAUGAAUCCAGAGGUUGAUGGGCCAGGCAGUGUUUGUUUUCCUGUUGUCCAUCUGUGGGAAUGGCACCAUUAUGCAUCUAGUGGUCCCAGCCUAGUAUAAGACAUUACCCAAAAGAGGUAGGGGCUUACCUGCAUCCCUUCCAGCUGUUCUCCAUGUCAUCCUCAAAAAAGAGUAUAUUUUGCCCCAUUACCACUACUCCCACCCAAACCUCCACCUCUGUAAAUUCCAUGAAUGAUUUCCCAUUUUUCAUUAGAUGGAGACAGAAUUUCUGCACGUGAAAGAAUGAAGUUAGACCUCUACCUCAUACCAUUUGCAAAAUUAGUUGAAAAUGAAUAGAAGCUCGAAAUAUAAGAACUAAAAUCAUAAAAUAUUUAGAAGUAAGCAUAAUUGUAAAUCUGUGUGAUAUUGAAUCAGGCAAGGGUUUCUUAGAUAUGACACUCAAAGCACAAGCCACCAAAGGAAAAAAGUAGAUAUAUUGGACUUCAGAAAAUUAAAAACUUCUGUGAUUGAAAAAAAAAAUUGAAAUGAUAAUCCACAGCAUGGGAGAAAAUAUUUGCAAUUCAUACAUAUGUAGAAGGUCUACUAUCCAAAGUAAUAAAAGAACCACUGCAGAUCAACAAUUAAAGAACUUUAAAAAUAGGCAAAGUAUUUUAUUUUAUAUUCCUCCAAUGAAUAUAUAGAAAUAACUAAUAAGCAUAUGAAAAAGUUGUUCAACAUUAUUAGUUAUUAGGCAAAUGUAAAUCAAAACCACAAUAAAAUACCACUUCAUCUCAAAGGAUGACUAUUAUUUUUAAAAACGUAAAAUAAUAAGCAUGAGGAAGAAUAUGAAGAAAUUGGCAUUUUCAUUAUGUUUCUGAUGGGAAUCUAAAAUUGUAUAGCUAUCAUGAAGUUCCUAAAAUGAUUAAAAACAGAUUUACUGUUUCACCCAGCUGUUUCACCCUUAUGCAUAUACACAAGACAACUGAAAGCACAUGUCUACCCAAAGGUUUGUACAUGAAUACUUAUAUUAACAAUCUUAUUCAUGAUGGCCAAAAAGUAGCAAUAGCUCAGACACCAACUGAUGGAUAAACAAAUGCGGAAUAGCCAUUCAAUGGGAUAUUAUUCAAACAUAAAAAAAAUGAGGUAUAAUUUGUGCUACCUGAAAGAACUUUGAAAAUUGAUGUAAAAAAGAUAGAAGUUGGAC
rnacentral:lncRNA from 1 species